rnacentral:rRNA from 1 species
ACGUAGUGGGAGGCGGAACUCUCGGAGUAGCGGUGGAAUGCGUAGAUACCGAGAGGUACCCCGAUGGUGAAGACAGCCUCCUGGGCGUCACCUGACACUGAAGCGCUAAGGCCAGGGGAGCAAAGGGGAUUAGAUACCCCCGUAGUCCUGGCUUCAAACGAUGUGGGCUUGGUGUCGGCUCCCGAAGAGAGUCGUUGCCGGAGCUAACGUGUUAAGCCCACCGCCUGGGGAUUACGUCCGCAAGGAUGAAACUCAAGGGAAUUGACGGGGGCCCACACAACCGGUGGAGCACGUGGUUUAAUUCGAUGAUAAGCGAAGAACCUUACCAGGACUUGACAUGUCGGUAGUAGGACCCUGAAAGGGGAACGAACCAAAGCUUUGCUUUGGUAGCCGUCACAGGUAUUGCAUGGCUGUCGUCAGCUCGUGUCGUGGGACGUUGGGUUAAGUCCCGUAACGAGCGCAACCCCUGCCCUUAAUUGCCAGCGCAUUUGGCGGGUACUAUAAGGGGACUGCCGGAGAAUAUCCGGAGGAAGGAGGGGACGACGUCAAGUCAUUAUGAUCCUUAUGUUCUGGGCGACACACGUGCUACAAUGGGCACUACAGUGGGGAGCCAAUCCGCAAGGAUGAGCAAAUCCCAAAAAGGUGCCCCCAGUGCGGAUUGGGGUCUGCAACCCGACCCCAUGAAGAUGGAAUCGGUAGUAAUCGCGGGUCAAGCCAUACCGCAGUG